rnacentral:tRNA from 1 species
UGUAGGGUGGUGUAGUUGCGCACGGGGGUUUUUGGUUCCCUUAGAAGGAGAUUGGCGGCUCCUUCCUGCAG